CAAAAUAACAAUCCAAAGCAUAGAUUAUACACUUAAUAUAAAGCUUAAAUCAAAUUGGUGAUUUAAAAUAAAACACAUUUUUUAUUAUUAUUUAAUUUUUCUCUAUUUUAGCACAUAAUGGCUGACACAACUGGGAAAGAGCAAUCAGUUACUAAAGUGCCAAUGAUAUAUGUUUGUGGAGAAUGUCACAAAGAGAAUGAAAUCAAACCAAGAGAUCCUAUUAGGUGCAGAGAAUGUGGUUACAGAAUAAUGUACAAGAAAAGAACAAAAAGACUGGUUGUGUUUGACGCUCGGUAAACGAAUUCUGGAAACAAAACCCUAGAAGAUAAGUUCGGUGGAUACAUCAUGCACAGAAGAGUGAAAUAAAUUUAUAAUAAGUUCUAAUAAAGAUAUUUCUAUAAUAUAAUACGUUUUAUUUGUUCUGGAUGACAGUCUGUGAUAAAUAAUUUAGAUUUAAUGUGAUUGCCACAUCAACUCGGGCUAAGUUAAUAUGGCGUCAUUCUCUGCGAAUUCCGGCGUUAACGUAUCAACGGUCAAAAUACGCUAUAUAUUUAAUUACGAAGCGAACGGUUUGUCAAGAAGUUGUAUAUUGAAGUUGAAGUCGUAUGUUGAGCACGAGACUAUCUGGCAAUCCCAUGGUGUAUCCCAGUUUAUAAUGAAAUCGUUGUGACAAACUUUGUCGAAUGCCUUCGCCAUAUCGAAGAAGAGGGCUCCGGUGGGGAUGGGUCUGCGUUUGUUUAGCCCUACUAAGAUGUGCUCCGUGAGGCGGUGCACUUGCUGAAUGCAUGAGUGUUUCGCGCCGGGCCGUACGCUCGUCUGCCUACUUGGCAAUAAAAUAAUAAAAUAAAAACAUAAUAUAUUGUUUGUAUGCUAUUAAUAAAUAACUAAUUGAUUAAUUAAUAAA